rnacentral:misc_RNA from 1 species
GACAGAGGGUGCAAACGUUGCUCGGAAUUACUGGGCGUAAAGCGCGUGUAGGCGGAUCGGCAAGUCGGCUGUGAAAUCCCCAGGCUCAACCUGGGAACUGCACUCGAAACUGCCGGUCUAGAGUGAUGGAGAGGGAAGCGGAAUUCCUGGUGUAGAGGUGAAAUUCGUAGAUAUCAGGAGGAACACCAGUGGCGAAGGCGGCUUCCUGGACAUCGACUGACGCUGAGACGCGAAAGCGUGGGGAGCAAACAGG